ensembl:lncRNA
GUGAAUAAUACAUUUCAAGGCCAGUGGGAACUGACUGAAUGUGACAGGGCCAUUUUGUGUCUCUAGUGAAUAAUACAUUUCAUGGCCAGUGGGAACUGACUGAAUGUGACCGGGCCAUUUUGUGUCUCUAGUGAAUAAUACAUUUCAAGGCCAGUGGGAACUGACUGAAUGUGAUCGGGCCAUUUUGUGUCUCUAGUGAAUAAUACAUUUCAAGGCCAGUGGGAACUGACUGAAUGUGAUCGGGCCAUUUUGUGUCUCUAGUGAAUAAUACAUUUCAAGGCCAGUGGGAACUGACUGAAUGUGAUCGGGCCAUUUUGUGUCUCUAGUGAAUAAUACAUUUCAAGGCCAGUGGGAACUGACUGAAUGUGAUCGGACCAUUUUGUGUCUCUAGUGAAUAAUACAUUUCAAGGCCAGUGGGAACUGACUGAAUGUGACAGGGCCAUUUUGUGUCUCUAGUGAAUAAUACAUUUCAAGGCCAGUGGGAACUGACUGAAUGUGACAGGGCCAUUUUGUGUCUCUAGUGAAUAAUAACAGCUGUUUUGGAAACUACUAGAGAGACAGACAUUGAUUCUGUGGAUGUAUUCCCUUGUUAAUUUCUUUGUAUUGCUGAAGAUGUAUAUUAAUUUAUUUAUCGCUUUGUGUUGUGAAGCUUAACAUUAUAACAAGCACUGCAGGUACAGGAACCAUUUUUUAAUAUUCUAUAGCUGUAAAUGACUAAAUUUGAAAGGGAGAAUUGUGAAUUACUUGAAAAGGUUUCUCCAAUGAAAAAAAGACUAAUAUGUCAGUUGUUACUUCAAAUACUUCAGAAAUUGCUCAUCUAAAAGAAAACAUGGAAGGAUGAAUUUCUAAAGUAUUCUCAUAUGUCAUUUUGGUGUCCUGCCUACAGGUUCUUUCCAUGUAUUGUAACUUAUCUUUACCAGCAGGGGGAGACAAAGUCAAAACUUUGAACACACUCUUAUUCAGAUUUUUACAUGGCGAGAAUCUCAAUUCAAUUUGCUCGACUCCUCGCGUCCUCUUCGCUGCCCUCUCCUGGUUGAAAACGUGGACACAAAUGUGCUUGUAUAUUUGUAUAGCAUAUAGUUUUUAAACAUGAGCAUGCGUUUCUCUUCCGAGAAGAAAACAACUGAUUUUGUGGCGGAUUUCAAAACGCUUCUACGAUAUGGAGCCGAGCAGGUACAUUUGUGCUUCCUCGCUGGGAGAAGGCUAUUGAGGAGGACACUACUCUGUUCACCUAUUAACAAAUUGACACUCGUCUACAUAUGGCGACCACUUUUCAUUUUAUGGGUCACGAAAGAGAAAAGUACUUAGGAGACGAGAAGAGGAGAGACUUUACCAAUUGAGAAACUCCCAUGACUUCCAAUGUGUUCUUUUUAAGUGACAAAGAGAUUGAGACACAUUGGAUUAGAUCAAGAGUCCCAACAAUGACUAGUAUUUUGUUGUAAUCUUUAUUGUAUUGAACUUUAAUUUGAGAAGAAAGUCAAUGCACACUGAAAAGUAGUAAAACAUCUCAUGAAGGUAUAACAAUACAUUCUCUGAACAUCUCAUUUCAAGUUAUGUAAAUACUGUACAUUUAAUAUUCUGUUUCUAUGGAUGUUGAUGGUAAUACACUGAAAGUACACAAAGGAUCUUUGUGAAAUACUGAUUAUUAACCGAGAACUGAUAAAAGAUGAGAAUCAAAUGACAUCUUCAUUUGUGGUUAAGGAAGAAAAGAAAAAUGUCAUGUAAAUACAAACAUCCUUGAAGAUUUUCAAAAGAUAUGACCCUGAUUAAACAUUUAAAGAUGACAAACACUUUAUAUACAUUACAUUCACCAUAUAUAUACAGUAUAUUACAAAAAAUAGGCAGCAAAAGAGUAUUGAUGAUUCAAACAACAUGAAACAAUAGCCUAGUCAUAAAGAUAUUGCAAAAUAUUAUUGGUUUCCCUUUCUUCAUUAUUGUAUAUUUCGUUCCAAAUUACUGUACAACACUUUAGACAAAAUCCACAAAAAAAAUAUUUUAUUUGCCUCAUUUGAGUUCUCUCUAGGUUCAAGGCUUCAUUAUCAAGCUAGGUCUACACUUACCACAACUACAAGAGAUCUACGGAAGGCUCAACUAAACAUUUACUGGCAGGAAAAGACAACUUAAAUCAAUUCAACAUUUUGUACAUCGUAAUUAGUAUUUUUCCACCAGAAAAAUUGAUGUAUGCAUUAACCAUAAUCUAUCUCUAAAACUGUACUUACUUUAGAUGUAUUGGACUUCAGAGUGAUUUUGAAAUUGCCACUGAAUUCAAAUCUGCCUUUAUUUUGAUUGACAGGUACACUACACUUUAACUUCUAACAUUUUCCAUCAAUGUCUUGACUUUAACGUUGAAUAUACAUUUCACUACAUUCGGUUAUGGGUGAUCUUUAGCAAAAUGCUUGUUAUAAAUGAAUACCACUGUAGGAGAUUAGAAUGCUGGUGAGUUGAAGUAGGUUGAAAAGGCCUGAACAUAUGACUUACUGAUGUAGAAUCUUAAAUUUGAUCACUCUUUGUCGCUGAGAGGAAAAGCAAAUGUGUGAUGUAUUCCAGGUUUAAAAAGGCUUCUAAAGAUUGUAAUUUCCACUUUAAAAUGUCAGACUUGAUUUGCCUUAACGGAAAUGUAUCAACAAAAAUGUCCAUUCAUUUUAAUCCACAUAAUAAUUCACAUUUCCAGUUGCUGCUGGAUUAUUUUCCUGUGGUCAAGAACUGGCUCAAAUUAAGAUCCUACAUCUGUACUGUGAGACUGAGCCAGCAUGACAACUGACAAUGACCUGACUAUAUACAUUCGACUACAUACAAUAUAUACAUUCAUCCAGACACUGUACAGGGAUACAUUAAUACAAUGAGCUCUGCGGGACUUUCUCUCUUUUCCUUUUCUUAUUAUGAACACGUUGGAUCAGGCAGGAGAACUGACAGUGGAGUUUAACCGAGUAAGACAGUGAUGGAGGUUCAUUCAGUGAUAGGGGAUAUAAGUGGUGUGUCCCAAUAAACAUAUUUUUCCUGAAGUGUGCACUUGUACACUACUUACCACAAAUCUAAAAGCAUUGGAUUGGUGGAGGUAUGGGCUAGUUUCCAUCAUGCUUUUUACACCAAUCAUACUAACCCUUUCAGAUCAGUGAAGGGAAGUAAACAAGUGCACACUUUGGGAGAAAGGAGUGAUAAUUGGGACAUAAGCCAGGAGUCAUACAGUGAUAGGAAGGUAGACUGCAGGGGUCAUGGGGUCAACCAGGGAUAAUAAUAAUCAUUGAUUAAACUUUUAUAGCUCUUUUCAUUUACAGACAGAAUCUCAAGGUGCUUGUUAAGCAAAAUAAUCAACAAAAAGUAAUUUAAAAAGAAAUAGGCUAAAACAGUAGCUAGAUCAGCUAGUUUGAGUGGUUCUAUAUCAGCUAGCUUGAGUGGUUCUAGAUCAGCUAGUUCGAGUGGCUCUAGAUCAGCUCGUUUGAGUGGUUAUAGAUCAGCUAGUUUGAGUGGCUCUCAAACAGUCAUGGGGUUAACAGACAGUCAUGGGGUUAACAGGGUCAGACAGUCAUGGGGUUAACAGGGUCAGACAGUCAUGGGGUUAACAGGGUCAGACAGUCAUGGGGUUAACAGGGUCAGACAGUCAUGGGGUUAACAGGGUCAGACAGUCAUGGGGUUAACAGGGUCAGACAGUCAUGGGGUUAACAGGGUCAGGCAGUCAUGGGGUUAACAGGGUCAUACAGUCAUGGGGUUAACAUGGUCAGACAGUCAUGGGGUUAACAUGGCAAGACAGUCAUGGGGUUAACAUGGUCAGACAGUCAUGGCCAGACAGUCAUAGGGUUAACAUGGUCGGACAGUAAUGGUCAGACAGUCAAAGGGUUUACUUGGUCAGACAGUCAUAGCGUAACAUGGUCAGACAGUCAUAGGCUAACAUGGUCAGACAGUCAUAGGGUAACAUGGUCAGACAGUCAUAGGGUUAACAGGGUCAGGCAGUCAUAGGGUUAACAGGGUCAGACAGUCAUGGCCAGACAGUCAUAUGGUUAACAUGGCCAGGAAGUAAUGGUCAGACAGUCAUAGGGUAAACAGGGUCAUACUCAUGGGGUUAACAGGGUCAGACAGUCAUAGAGUCAGACAGUCAUAGGGUUAACAUGGUCGGACAUUCAUUGGGUUAACAUGGUCAGACAGUCAUAUGGUAACAUGGUCAGACAGUCAUAGGGUUAACAUGGUCAGACAGUAAUGGUCAGACAGUCAUAGGGUUAAGAUGGUCACAGUCAUAGCGUAACAUGGUCAGACAGUCAUAGCGUAACAUGGUCAGACAGCCAUAGGUUAACAUGGUCAGACAGUCAUAGGGUUAACAUGGUCAGACAGUCAUAGGGUAACAUGGUCAGACAGUCAUAGGGUAACAUGGUCAGACAGUCAUAGUGGAUCAGACAGUCAUAGGGUCAGACAGUCGUAGGGUUAACAUGGUCAGACAGUUAUGGUCAGACAGUCAUAGGGUAAUCAGGGUCAGACUCAUGGGGUUAACAGGGUCAGACAGUCAUAGUGGAUCAGACAGUCAUAGGGUCAGACAGUCGUAGGGUUAACAUGGUCAGAGAGUAACAGGGUUAACAUGGUCAGACAGUCAAAGGAUUCACAGGGCCAGGCAGCCAAAGGGUUAACAGGUUCAGACAGUCAUGGUCAGACAGUCAUAGGGUUAACAGGGUCAGACAGUCAUGGUCAGACAGUCAUAGGAUUAACAGGGUCAUACAGUCAUAGGGUUAACAUGGUCAGACAGUCAUGGGGUUAACAGGGUCAGACAGUCAUGGGGUUAACAGGGUCAGACAGUCAUGGGGUUAUCAGGGUCAGACAGUCAUGGGGUUAACAGGGUCAGACAGUCAUGGGGUUAACAGGGUCAGACAGUCAUGGGGUUAACAGGGUCAGACAGUCAUGGGGUUAACAGGGUCAGACAGUCAUGGGGUUAACAGAGUCAGACAGUCAUGGGGUUAACAGAGUCAGACAGUCAUAGGGGGUUAGACAGAGUCAGACAGUCAUGGGGUUAACAGGGUCAGACAGUCAUGGGGUUAACAGGGUCAGACAGUCAUGGGGUUAACAGGGUCAGACAGUCAUGGGGUUAACAGGGUCAGACAGUCAUAGGGUUAACAGGGUCAGACAGUCAUGGGGUUAACAGGGUCAGACAGUCAUGGGGUUAACAGGGUCAGACAGUCAUGGGGUUAACAGGGUCAGACAGUCAUGGGGUUAACAGGGUCAGACAGUCAUAGGGUUAACAGGGUCAGACAGUCAUGGUCAGACAGUCAUAGGGUUAACAUGGUCAGACAGUCAUGGUCAGACAGUCAUAGGGUUAACAUGGUCAGACAGUCAUAGGGUUAACAUGGUCAGACAGUCAUGAUCAGAGAGUCAUGGUCAGACAGUAACAGGGUUAACAUGGUCAGACAGUCAUGGUCAGACAGUCAAAGGAUUAACAGGGCCAGACAGCCAAAGGGUUAACAGGUUCAGACAGUCAUGGUCAGACAGUCAUAGGGUUAACAGGGUCAGACAGUCAUGGUCAGACAGUCAUAGGAUUAACAUGGUCAUACAGUCAUAGGAUUAACAGGGUCCUACAGUCAUGGGGUUAACAGGGUCAGACAGUCAUGGGGUUAACAGAGUCAGACAGUCAUGGGGUUAACAGGGUCAGACAGUCAUGGGGUUAACAGGGUCAGACAGUCAUGGGGUUAACAGGGUCAGACAGUCAUGGUCAGACAGUCAUAGGGUUAACAGGGUCAGACAGUCAUGGUCAGACAGUCAUAGCAUUAACAUGGUCAGACAGUCAUAGGGUUAACAGUGUGACAGUCAUAAGGUUAACAUGGUCAGACUAGGUUAACAUGGUCAGACUAGGUUAACAUGGUCAGACAGUAAUAGGGUAAACAGUGUCAGACAGUAAUAGGGUAAACAGUGUCAGGCAGUCAUAGGGUUAACAGUGUCAGACAGUCAUACGGUUAACAUGGUCAGACAGUCAUAGGGUUAACAUGGUCAGACAGUAAUAGGGUUAACAGUGUCAGACAGUAAUAGGGUAAACAGUGUCAGACAGUCAUAGGGUUAACAGUGUCAGACAGUAAUAGGGUAAACAGUGUCAGACAGUCAUAGGGUUAACAGUGUCAGACAGUAAUAAGGUUAACAUGGUCAGACAGUCAUAGGGUUAACAUGGUCAGACAGUCAUAGGGUUAACAUGGUCAGACAGUCAUAGGGUUAACAUGGUCAGACAGUCAUAGGGUUAACA